GAAUCAAUUCCCAGAAUGCUGUUGACUUCCACAUAAGGAUAUUGUUUCUCCAGAACGCUAACCACAUGCUCCACUUUCAGCUGAUCUCCUGUUUUCACUUUGUUAUAUAUCUGAAGAGAGGAUACAAAUGAAGUUGACAGCUGCAACUGUAAAGCUUCUGUCCUUACCAAAGAACCACACCGGACGCCAGUGACAAACCGCAUCCCUUCUUUUCUCAUUUUAUGGCUAUUGAACAACAAGGGAUUUCUCUUUCAGAACAGGAAUUUCAGGGGACGUAGGAUGAGAAGCCUUUCCACAGACCUCUAAUAGAUGACUUCCAGGGAAACAGGUCAGAGUUGCAUGCAGAGGCUUUUGAAAUAGUUGUCUUUUGGUCUUGAGAAAUACCAACUUUCCAC